GAUCACAACAUUUGUGUGAUUAAAAAAAGCUAUGAGUCUAUACAUAGAUUUUUUUUUAUUUUUAAAAAAUAGAUCAGUUUCCUCUCAAAAAUGCAAAAAAUAGAGAAAAAAGUAGUAGAAAAUACCUAAAAAAUACCCUAAUAUUAGUGCAAAAGUAGACAAAAUCAAAAGAAAAUACCCAGAAUAUCAGUGUUAGUCUUCAACACUCGAAUUUAAAAUUAUGGAGAACCUGUUGUGAUGCAUGUAUACACUAAGCAUGAGAGCCCUCAUCAAUCUCUGUAUUGUAGAUGGUUGAAGCAUGUUUUCUACGAACACAUUCUGUAAAUAGAUUUAUGAUACAGAGUGUAUUUUGAACGAGGAAACCAGGAUGUAGAUAUUAAAGGAAACCUAUUGUAUACAUGAGGUCAAACUUCAAACUAUAUUAUGUUCAUUAUGUUUGUGUCCGGUCUCGUGGAAGUAAAAUGGCAAAUCUGUAUAUAACAGGUUUUUUGAUUUAUUAUAUAGUUUUCCCGAGUUUUGUAUGCACUUGACAAAAAACGAGAUCUUACUGUUUUGAAGAGAUUGUUUCAGUUUUUCAAAAACAUGGCACGUGCAACAUCCUUAAAGAAAAUUUGGAGCAUUCCUUCAAAGAAAGAAAGAAUUCAGUCCAUUCUUGCGAGGAACUCUGCGAUAUUUCUUUGACAAAUCCGUCUUUGAAGAAAGUCAACAUAGCCUCUAUAAAUGUAUCCCGAUUCGGAUACAACAGAGAUGUCGAUUUCACCAUACAGACUGGCAACUGUAAUACAAUAGACAUGGCAAAUCAUUUCAACAUAAUCUGUGGACAGACCAGGAGCGUAGAAAAACAUAUUUUCGAGAGAUGCCAUGACAAUCGUCAGUGUAGAAAAACAAUUGGGGCUACAUUAUGUGAUAGUUUGAAUGGCAGAAAGGUUUGUCAGUAUUCCCAAGGCUACAUGUAUUUUGACAAAAGAUGUAUUCAGAGUAGUGUUUCUUUCAAUUCCACUUGUGAGUUGACAGACCAGUGCAGAAUGAAAACUAAAGGCAGUGCUUGCAUCAGAAAGAAAAAGAAGACAGAAAGACAUGUCGGUGUGAUGUUGGAUUUCAAAGAAAUGAGAAUGAGUGCAUAUUAACAGAGAUUAUUAUUUCAACCGUUGCACCCGUAGGCUCCAUUGGAUUUCAAAGUUCUUCAAAAAGCUAUCCAAAUAACGAAUGGUUUAUAAUUUCUGUGGCAUCUGCUGGGUUCGGUCUCGGUAUUAUUUGCAGCAGCAUCGUAUUCCUUGUCAUUUGGAAAUGUAGAAACCGAAAAAAGAUUUCAUGUACUGAAAAGUACCCUGUAUCAGAUACCACAACAGAGAUGUACAAAACCUCCCACGGCAACAAUGAUAUGCAUGGAGAAAAUGAAGUGAAUUUUAAGAUUGUUUAUUCAAACCAGAACUCAAAUCCCUAUAGUCAUGCGAGAAAGGUUUCAACAGAAGAUGAUGUUUACAAUCAUUUAAGAGAAAGUCCAGAAGUAUUCCUUAAUCAUGACAUUUAUGAUGUUUCUCAGCCUUUGUCUGUUAAUGUGAAUUCUGGAUCAUCGACUGGUGACUACGAAUUGGCAAAGAACACGUUUAUGACUGCAUUAUAAAAAAAUGUCUCCAUAUUGUCACCACAGUCCAAAAAAAGAAGGACAUAUUUCCUCACGAUUGUUAUUUUUUUUUUAAAUACGAGGGGUGAUAAAAAAAAUUCGCUAACUAUCUCUAUAUUUACAAAACCACGAUUCAGAUCAGAGUUAAAUUUGGCACACGUAUAGUCAAGCACAUGUUUUUAAAAGCAUAUGAGAGGUAAUGAUUUUCUCCAUGAUUGUGACGACACAAUGUGAAAAUAACGUCAAUAUAUAGGUGACUGGUAAUUAAUGAAAAUUGGUUGUCACAGUCUUACUAGAGCAACAAAUGGCUGUAAAGUUGAACGUAUAACUUUGAAAUUCCUUUGAAGUAUCUUUUAAUGAUUUGUACAAGGCUUAUGAAGACAAUAGACUUUCUAGACAUUCAGUCAUUAAUUGGAUU